rnacentral:misc_RNA from 1 species
GGCAUGAUUGGUCCUGAAUGAGAAGCAGCACCCCCAAAUGAUCCUGUCCUAGAAGGAGCACCAGUUAUAGGUCCAGAUUUCCUAGACUUUGAGCCAUCCACAGGAAUAUCAAACAUUUUACCCAAUUCUCCUGACUUCUUGAUAUCACCACCAGUGUAUGGCAUUGCCACAGAGCUCAUUGUUGGAGUCCUUUCCUUUGGCUGCUC